rfam:Oreochromis niloticus linkage group LG20, whole genome shotgun sequence.
CUAUAUGUACCCUGUAGAACCGAAUUUGUGUGAAGUACAAGCAGUCGCAAAUACGUCUCUACAGGAAUACAUGGG